GUCGUGAGACAGUUCGGUCCCUAUCCGGCGCGGGCGUAGGAUAUCUGAGGAGAGCUGGCCUUAGUACGAGAGGACCGGGCUGGACGGACCACUGGUGUAUCUGCUGUUCUGCCAAGGGCAUUGCAGAGUAGCCAAGUCCGGAAGGGAUAAACGCUGAAGGCAUCUAAGCGUGAAGCCCCCUCCAAGAUGAGAUAUCCCUUUCUUAAAGAAAGUAAGACCCCUUGAAGACUACAAGGUAGAUAGGGCAGAGGUGGAAGUGCAGUAAUGUAUGGAGCUGACUGUCACUAAUCGGUCGAUGGCUUGAUCG
rnacentral:rRNA from 1 species